AUAACGGUCCUAAGGUAGCGAAAUUCCUUGUCAGGUAAGUUCUGACCCGCACGAAAGGUGUAACGAUUUGGGCGCUGUCUCGGCAGCAGACUCGGUGAAAUCUUAGUACCUGUGAAAAUGCAGGUUACCCGCAACUAGACGGAAAGACCCCAUGGAGCUUUACUGCAGCCUGAUAUUGAAUUCUGGUCAUACAUGUACAGGAUAGGUGGGAGACAAAGAGACGUGCACGCCAGUGUACGAGGAGUCGACGUUGGGAUACCACUCUUGUGUGACCGGGGUUCUAACCUGGUAUCGAGAACAGGUACGGGGAGAGUGUCAGGUGGGCAGUUUGACUGGGGCGGUCGCCUCCCAAAGAGUAACGGAGGCGCCCAAAGGUUCCCUCAGAAUGGUUGGAAAUCAUUCAAAGAGUGCAAAGGCAGAAGGGAGCUUGACUGCGAGACGGACAGGUCGAGCAGGAACGAAAGUUGGGCUUAGUGAACCGGCUGUGCUGAAUGGAAAGGCAGUCGAUCAACGGACAAAAGCUACCCUGGGGAUAACAGGCUGAUCUCCCCCAAGAGUUCACAUCGACGGGGAGGUUUGGCACCUCGAUGUCGGCUCGUCGCAUCCUGGGGCUGGAGAAGGUCCCAAGGGUUGGGCUGUUCGCCCAUUAAAGCGUCACGCGAGCUGGGUUCAGAACGUCGUGAGACAGUUCGGUCCCUAUCUGUCGUGGGCGUAGGAAAUUUGAAGGGAGUCGUCCCUAGUACGAGAGGACCAGGAUGAACGUACCGCUGGUGAAUCAGUUGGCCUGCCAGGGCCACAGCUGGGUAGCUACGUACGGACGGGAUAAACGCUGAAAGCAUCUAAGCGUGAAGCCCCCCCUGAGAUGAGAUUUCCCAUUAGAAAUAAGUAAGACCCCUUAGAGAUGAUGAGGUAGAUAGGUCAGAGAUGUAAGCACUGUGAGGUGUUGAGUUGACUGAUACUAAUAGGUCGAGGACUUAACCUU
rnacentral:rRNA from 1 species